GCCUCUAUGGUCUAGUGGUACGAUACUCCGUUUGGGAGGGUGCGGGUGCACCCAAGAAUCGGAGUGGUCCUGCGUUCGAUCCGCAGUGGAGGCC